CUAAUACAACACUCACGGUUCCUCCUAGCAAAAUUGCUCAAAGCCAAGCAAAAAAAAUACAAAAAAAAUUAAAUACAAGAAAACGAAAUGUCUCCAGCCUGUCGUAGGUUUCGCUGAUUUCGGUUAGCAAUCGAAGAGAUGAACCAUCAUCGUCUCACAGCGAUCACCCGAUUCAUACUCAUCCAGACGGCCUCUUCAUCCUUUUAUCCUUACGAAUCAUACCCAUUCUCUCCCUUGCGCCUCCUCUUCGUCUGUUGCUCUCUCUCUCCCUGUGAAUCUCACAACCCAUUUGGGUCUCACGCAUAGAGGUCUGUGGUUGGCUAGACUGUUGUCUUUCGUCCUUCCAUGUUCUCUGCUCUGUUUGUUUCAUUGCUUCACCGGAGCUGCCAGGCGAUUCAAAGGUUGUCGCAUUGAAUGCACUCUAUGAGGGGGCUUUGUUAGGAGAUGCGAAGGAGGUCUGUGCCAGAGGGGAUACUAUCUGAGAAUGGUCAAAGUUAGCGAACCUAAAAGGAUGAAAACCAGUGAAAAGCAAGAUAUGAAUGGUGAGAGAAACCUAAGAGAAUUACCUGAUGUCAGUCUCCAACACAUCCUUUCUUCAAUUUCAACAAAGUCUGCCGCGAGAGAAGGUGUUCUGACAAAAAGAUGGUAAUCUCUUUGGACAUUUGUUUCGAAAUGCGAUUUUACUGGAUAUGAAAGUAAAAUAGAACCCACUCUAUGGAAUGUUUUGAUUGAGCACUUGCACUCCAUGAAGGUAGUAUUAUAAUACGCUACUCUAUUAUGAGUGAUGUGCUAGGUGAUGCAGAUUGCGUUAGAAGAUGGAUUACAAUUGUAGCGAGAUGGAAUGUUGGAGCCAUUUGGUAGUAUAUUUAUGAGCACCACAACAGUUCUUGGUCCAUCAUUGGCUCUUGAUGGCCACCAUAUUCUUCACUACUUCUUCCAUAGAAGAGUGGGAGAUCGGAUCGAGUGGGGUUUCUCCCUCGGAGAUAGUGCCUGCUGUUGCUUGUGCUGCUCCAAAUGUUUCUCAAUCUGCAGUAAAGAUGAAAUGGCCUCGACCUCUUGACAUUCAUACUUCUGGAAUGGUGGCUAUUGGCAGGACACAAAAGCUAACAUAAUGACAUGCAAGGUAUACAGAUAGAAAAAAAGGAUCUACAGUGCUCUUUUUGGAACCGAUACACAUUACAAUUAUUGCUCCAACUGGUUAUGUGUGAUGCUGACAAUCCGGCUGGAGAUCCAAUCCCGACCAACAAGAGUGGUGCUGCUGCUUGAUAUUCAGCCAUCGCGAUGUUGUUGUCGAAGUACCUUGGUAUGAUUGUCUCCCAUGUGAAGUUGACAACUGUCUUAAAAGGAGAUUGAAUACUUCGUUCUUUAUGUUGUAUGAAGAAUAAUGAGCUGUACAAUUCUGUAAAUUUAUUUUUCCGUGAUAAUGAACGACAUUUAACGCACGGGAGGAAGAGAAAAGAAUUUGUCAGACAUAA